GAGUUUGAUCCUGGCUCAGAUUGAACGCUGGCGGCAGGCCUAACACAUGCAAGUCGAGCGGUAGAGAGAAGCUUGCUUCUCUUGAGAGCGGCGGACGGGUGAGUAAUGCCUAGGAAUCUGCCUGGUAGUGGGGGAUAACGCUCGGAAACGGACGCUAAUACCGCAUACGUCCUACGGGAGAAAGCAGGGGACCUUCGGGCCUUGCGCUAUCAGAUGAGCCUAGGUCGGAUUAGCUAGUUGGUGAGGUAAUGGCUCACCAAGGCGACGAUCCGUAACUGGUCUGAGAGGAUGAUCAGUCACACUGGAACUGAGACACGGUCCAGACUCCUACGGGAGCAGCAGUGGGGAAUAUUGGACAAUGGGCGAAAGCCUGAUCCAGCCAUGCCGCGUGUGUGAAGAAGGUCUUCGGAUUGUAAAGCACUUUAGGUGGA
rnacentral:rRNA from 1 species